GACGAACGCUGGCGGCGUGCUUAACACAUGCAAGUCGAGCGGAAAGGCCCUUCGGGGUACUCGAGCGGCGAACGGGUGAGUAACACGUGGGUAACCUGCCUCAGACUCUGGGAUAACUCCGGGAAACCGGGGCUAAUACUGGAUAUGACCACUAACCGCAUGGUUUGGUGGUGGAAAGUUUUCGUCUGAGAUGGGCCCGGCGGCCUAUCAGCUUGUUGGUGGGGUGAUGGCCUACCAAGGCGACGACGGGUAGCCGGCCUGAGAGGGCGACCGGCCACACUGGGACUGAGACACGGCCCAGACUCCUACGGGAGGCAGCAGUGGGGAAUCUUGCGCAAUGGGGCGGAAGCCUGACGCAGCAACGCCGCGUGAGGGAUGAAGGCC
rnacentral:rRNA from 1 species